AUAUUACUCCUGGGAUUAAAAAAUGGAAACUGGAGAUGUUCAUCUAAACGAGAGACCAGCGAACGGGACGAAGCUUGAUGCUUGUUCUACAGCUUUGCCUUAACAAUACUGGAAUUAUCCGAAUUUUGAUAUUUUCCCAAUGGAAAUGCAAUAUUUAACUGUAGUAUUUAGUUUGUUCGUUUGUUGUGAACUCUCAGUAGUUCUCGCGCUUAGCAAUAAUACGACAUAUUUCACGUCAAAGAACGCUUCAUCCUAUAAAGUGCGUGAAAUCAAUACAGACGGGCAUGAACGACGUGUAACUUUAAAUAAAAUCAGUUAUGGAACGGGUAAGAAACCCAAAGAUGUGCUUUCAUCGACCAGGACUACGAUCAACUUAACGUCUGUGAAUAGGAGCUAUAAAACAACGGUAGGAGCGUUUUCCAGGCAAAAGGAUGAAAUUACUUAUCAAAUGGACAGAAACCGGAAAACAAAAUCAUUUCUGAGGAAAAUGAAAGGCGAAAUUCGCGUAAACCGUCGUUUUCGUCGACAGGAAAGAGUGACGGCGCGAAAUGACCCAGACAGCACAUGUACGUCUGGCCGACGUCGGCCCAAUAUCGAAACGUCGGCCUCUAUACCUAAAACAUCUAUAAAACAUCGGCCUGGCGGAGGCCGAUAUCAUUUGGUCAGUGCUCUGUUCUCCAGCUCAUCAGUCGUCGGCCCUGAGUUGGUUCACGACCGCGGGCCGAUGCCGCGCUUCUCUGUGUGCGCGUGCCCAGUAUUCGUCUCUUUUAGCCACCCAGAGAGAGAGAAGAGGAUAAUCCCAGCGACAUCUGUGGCUCUGAGGUAACGUUACGAUUUCACUUCAGCUCAAUUAGACAAAAAAUACUACUUUGUUAAUUCUGUGACACUGAAAAGGUACUGCGUUUAUACAGUCUAUGGGCAGCUAAAGAGUCUGGCUCAUUUUCAGCGAUUUUUUAACAUUAAUGUUAACGCCUUAAUGCGUUUUCAGAAGUUUCUCGGAGGGAAAAUGUAAAAGCGGAUUAUUAAAGAGAAGUCCUGACUGCUUUUUCACCGUAUUUUUCACUCUUUUACAGGCUUCCAGAAAUAAUCCGGUGAAAUAAUAUGAUGUUUGUUUGUGUGAAUGCUGUGUGUGCGGUGAGUCCUGCCGCUCCUGCGCGAGCGGGGAGCAGAGUUGCCAUGGAAACGGGGCGUCAACACAAAAACCGUUACUGGCAAACAGUAAUCUCCGUCUCUCGCUGCGGUUUACACUGUUUUAGAAACGGUUUAGUGUCUUCGGAAAAGUCCGUUAUCAUUUUAGCAGUUUUCAGGUAACGUUAGGCUAACUCUAUAGACUGAGCUCUUGUUGAUGAAACUCUGGGCUUUUAAUCAAAUCUUCGAUUUGAUUAAAACAAAAUGAUUUUUAAAUUAAUUAUUGAAUGAUUAUUGAACGAGACUGUACAUUAUAAAUGUAAUGUUUUAACUCUAGAUGUUUGUUUGUGUAAAUGCUGUGUGUGCGGUGAGUUCUGCGCGAGUGGGGAGCAGAGUUGCCAUGGAAACGGGGCGUCAACACAAAAACCGUUACUGGCAAACAGUAAUCUCCUUCUCUCGCUGCGGUUUACACUGUAUUAGGAGGACAGAAAGAAACUCUACAGAACAGAAGUGAAGCUCCAAGAUUUCAACAUUUAUGAAGGGAGAUACUGACUUAGAAAUACAGGUGAACUGAAGAAGCUCAUGAAAUACAUGAAUAUGCCUUUUUCAGAAUACAUUUCACCAAUUUUAAGAAGUCCCUGACAUCAUGACCUUGUUUCCUUCUAAUGAACCUGGAACUGCAGAGUAAAUAUUGUUGACUCUGUGUCAGAUUGCUUGUUUUGUUCCUGGAUUCUUCAGUGAUGACGAUCAGAGUCUGAGUGAACCUGCUGUCAGACAGGUUGGCCUGAUUGACGAUGCCAUCGUCCAUCGCCGAUGGCUGAUAGACAUCACGAUGCUGCGCCGGCAAACAGCGUCAUCAGCUCCAGUAUCUCGCCCGUGCAUCUGUUGUCAUGCGACAGAGAAGUCACGUUCUAUAGAGAGUUUCUACAGACAGUUGUGAACGUGCUGACAGCUGGUUGCCCAGGCUAUGGAUUAAAGGGCCAGCAGAGCCCUGCUCACCCUGACGGCCCACCGCUGCUGUCAGACAACAUCUCAAAGAUGCUAUAAACUGCAGGACUAGAUGGCCAUCCCAAGGUUUCUAGAGAUUACACCAGCUCCAAACUGUAUCCAAACUCACUUGUGAAGACUUCAGAUGACACCAACGCUCACAAAGACUACAGACGACAACUGUACAUGAACACACAAAACAAAUAUUAUCCUUAUUU